GUUUUAUAGUUGUUUAUUUUAAAUUUGACCUGCCCUAUGAUUAAUUUUGAAUGGCCGCAGUAUUUUGACUGUGCAAAGGUAGCAUAAUCAUUUGUCUUUUAAUUGAAGGCUAGUAUGAAUGGUUGGACGAAGAUAUCAACUUUCUUUCUUAUAAUUUGGUGAAUUUAAUUUCUGGGUUAAAAAGCUUAGAUUUUUUUAUAGGACGAGAAGACCCUAUAGAAUUUUAUACUUUGAGUAUAGCUGAUAUUUAAGUAUUUUAUCUGUCAUUUUUAUUUAAAGUAUUUUGUUGGGGUGACAUUGAGAUUUACUUUACUCUCAUUUAAUUUAUUCAGUAAUUACUGUUUUUUUGAUCCUUUAUUAUGGAUUAUAAGAUUAAAUUACCUUAGGGAUAACAGCGUAAUUUCUCUGGAGAGUUCUUAUCGAUAGAGGAGUUUGCGA
rnacentral:rRNA from 1 species